AGCCCAAAGCUGGUGGUAAACUCCAUCUAAGGCUAAAUACUGCAGGAAUCUGAGAAACAAAAGGAAGAAAAUGAAGGACUAAAGAGAGCACACUUCCUCUUAAAUAAGGCAGAGAAACACUGUGUGGACGGUGUGAGGCCGGUAGCGGCCCCCGGCGCGCCGGGACCGGGUCUUCUUGGAGUUGGGUUGUUUGGGAAUGCAGCCCAAAGCUGGUGGUAAACUCCAUCUAAGGCUAAAUACUGGCAUGAGACCAAUAGUCAACAAGUACUGGGGG
rnacentral:ncRNA from 1 species